rnacentral:rRNA from 1 species
GACGAACGCUGGCGGCGUGCUUAACACAUGCAAGUCGAACGGAAAGGCCCUGCUUUUGUGGGGUGCUCGAGUGGCGAACGGGUGAGUAACACGUGAGUAACCUGCCCUUGACUUUGGGAUAACUUCAGGAAACUGGGGCUCAUACCGGAUAGGAGCUCCUGCUGCAUGGUGGGGGUUGGAAAGUUUCGGCGGUUGGGGAUGGACUCGCGGCUUAUCAGCUUGUUGGUGGGGUAGUGGCUUACCAAGGCUUUGACGGGUAGCCGGCCUGAGAGGGUGACCGGCCACAUUGGGACUGAGAGACGGCGCAGACUCCUACGGGAGGCAGCAGUGGGGAAUAUUGCACAAUGGGCGGAAGCCUGAGGCAGCAACGCCGCGUGCGGGAUGACGGCCUUCGGGUUGUAAACCGCUGUCGCCUGUGACGAAGCGUGAGUGACGGUAAUGGGCAAAGAAGCACCGGCUAACUACGUG